AUUGAACGCUGGCGGCAGGCCUAACACAUGCAAGUCGAACGGUAACAGGAAGAAGCUUGCUUCUUUGCUGACGAGUGGCGGACGGGUAAGUAAUGUCUGGGAAACUGCCUGAUGGAGGGGGAUAACUACUGGAAACGGUAGCUAAUACCGCAUAACGUCGCAAGACCAAAGAGGGGGACCUUCGGGCCUCUUGCCAUCGGAUGUGCCCAGAUGGGAUUAGCUAGUAGGUGGGGUAACGGCUCACCUAGGCGACGAUCCCUAGCUGGUCUGAGAGGAUGACCAGCCACACUGGAACUGAGACACGGUCCAGACUCCUACGGGAGGCAGCAGUGGGGAAUAUUGCACAAAGGGCGCAAGCCUGAUGCAGCCAUGCCGCGUGUAUGAAGAAGGCCUUCGGGUUGUAAAGUACUUUCAGCGGGGAGGAAGGGAGUAAAGUUAAUACCUUUGCUCAUUGACGUUACCCGCAGAAGAAGCACCGGCUAACUCCGUG
rnacentral:rRNA from 1 species